UUUGAUGGACGUGAACUUACCAGAGCUUACCAUGAUAAGUUAAUUAUUAUUAAGGCAUUCCAUUAAAUACAUGUUUGUAUGUUUUUAUAAUUUAAUUAGGAAAUUGAAAAGAUGUCAAGUAUCAAUGAACUCGAAUCAUUUUUAUUAAAACACGGUGAGAGUAUUGUCGAUAUGGUAGACGAUGAAAUUGAUAGAAUUGAAUUAUUGAAUUGAAACUCAAGUAAAAUCGUCCAGAAAUACGGCACUGUGAUUUUGAAAUUCUAUAACAGUUAAAAAAUUAAAAAAGAUAAAAAUAAUAAAUAGCUUUAAGAGCUAAUAGUAUUGCUUGUGUGAUUGAAUUUGAAAGAGAUUCAUUAGAAUUUUAUAAUUUUGUCUGCUUUAUACAACUUGAUGGUUUA